AUUGAACGCUGGCGGCAUGCCUUACACAUGCAGGUCGAACGGUAACAGGUCUUCGGAUGCUGACGAGUGGCGAACGGGUGAGUAAUACAUCGGAACGUGCCCGAUCGUGGGGGAUAACGGAGCGAAAGCUUUGCUAAUACCGCAUAAGAUCUACGGAUGAAAGCAGGGGACCGCAAGGCCUUGCGCGAACGGAGCGGCCGAUGGCAGAUUAGGUAGUUGGUGGGGUAAAGGCUUACCAAGCCUACGAUCUGUAGCUGGUCUGAGAGGACGACCAGCCACACUGGGACUGAGACACGGCCCAGACUCCUACGGGAGGCAGCAGUGGGGAAUUUUGGACAAUGGGCGCAAGCCUGAUCCAGCCAUGCCGCGUGCAGGAUGAAGGCCUUCGGGUUGUAAAUUGCUUUUGUACGGAACGAAAAGACUCCUUCUAAUAAAGGGGGUUCAUGACGGUACCGUAAGAAUAAGCACCGGCUAACUACGUGCCAGCAGCCGCAGUAACAC
rnacentral:rRNA from 1 species